UGCUCAGCCCUUAGCUGCACUGCUAGGAUUCAUUUCUCUUUCUCCUUGCAUUAACAAAUUACCCUUAUCAUCUCUUCAAAUUCUCACCAACUCUUUCAUGGCCUUUUGUAGUUACAAAGGAGAAAUUCCUUCCCCUAUUUAUUUCAGGCAAUAUCUCAUUGUUGGUCUCAGCUCUUCACAGUUGCAGCCUCCCAGGUCUUGGUCCUGACAUAGGAACAAGGCAUUUAAUACAUUCAUCUCAUCACAAGUUUCUUUCAUCAGCUCAGUCUUCGAGAGAAUUACAGAACAUCGCGCAUGAAGGAUGCCAAGAAGUAGGUGCUUAUAAAAAGUUACCAAUUAAAUAUCCCUUCUGAGCUCUGCUCUCAUUUCUGCACCUGAAGUACAAAACCUGAAUAAAAUCCCCUCACAAGUGAUCUUCCAGCUAUUGAGGAAGACGGUCAAAUCGGGAUUCUCUCCCUCCUUCCAGACACUUGAAAUUGUCAGGCAGCCCAACACGAAGCUCACCUGGAGCCUCCUGCCUUCAUAGAAUCACUGAAUCCUG